rnacentral:rRNA from 1 species
GACGAACGCUGGCGGCGUGCUUAACACAUGCAAGUCGAACGGAAAGGCCCUGCUUUUGUGGGGUGCUCGAGUGGCGAACGGGUGAGUAACACGUGAGUAACCUGCCCUUGACUUUGGGAUAACUUCAGGAAACUGGGGCUAAUACCGGAUAGGAGCUCCUGCUGCAUGGUGGGGGUUGGAAAGUUUCGGCGGUUGGGGAUGGACUCGCGGCUUAUCAGCUUGUUGGUGGGGUAGUGGCUUACCAAGGCUUUGACGGGUAGCCGGCCUGGGAGGGGGACCGGCCCCAUUGGGACGGGGAUUAGGCCCGGACCCCACCGGGAGGGGAGGGGGGGGAAGUGUGGAACAUGGGGGGAACGCAUGUGGAGGAACGCCGGGGGGCGGGAGACGGGCUUUCGGUUGGAAACCGCUUUUCCCUUGGACGGAAGGGUAGUGACGGUAAUGGGUAAAGAAGCACCGGCUAACUACGUG